rnacentral:lncRNA from 1 species
AAAUGUGCUUCUGUUACAAAAUUGAAAUUUUGUUUAUCUGCUACUUUUAUAAUGAGAAAACCAUUUGUAUAAUUAGAAUAUUAAAUGACAGUGAUCUACAUUUUUUGGAUGUGUUUGCUGGACAGUUAGUCAAUUGGAUUAACUUCCGAUGGAGUGACAUUUACAAUUCAAACUGCAUUUGAUAGGAAGAAGGAUCCUGCAAAUUAGCUCGGCUGAGCUGAUCUGUGAUGUUUAUAUAGGCUUGGCUUGACUCUUCUUUUACUAGGCGUGAUCUUAGUAGCAUGAAAUCCAACUAGCUAGGGCUCAACUUGAGCUUGAUUUUAAUUAAUCUCAGACUAAAUAAAUUUUAAAUGAUUUCAAACAACCCAAACAUAGAACAGAAUACAGUUUUAUAAUAUUAUAUCUUUUCAAAGUUUCUGUUACUAGCCUUAAGCACUACAAACGGUUCACCCAUGGACCUAAGAAGAUUCAGUCAAAUGAAGAGUAAAGAACAAGUCAUGCAACUAAUUUGUGCUGCUGCUGUUAUUAUUUUCUUGUUAAUAUUUUUAUUCUUUAUGCUGCUGUUAUUAUUUUCUUGUUAAUAUUUUUAUUCUUUAUUUAUUUUGUUGAGUAGAAACAGGAGAAAAAAUUUAACCCAGUUUUUGAGUACUUAACUCAAGAGAUUGUAGAUUCUCUCUCAAGUCUACAAAAUAGGUAGAAAAAAGGAUAAAAACCCUUCUUCUUCCUCCCACCAACCUGACCAAAGACCCCUUACCCGUUUACAAACCAGGGCCUGUGACAACUUGGUAUCAGAGCCAGGUGUAAUGGGUGAAACCAUUCAAGAACAGCUGGAUCGAAUCCUUUCAAUGUUCUUGGAAGAACAAGCAAACAACAAGAACCGGCAAGAUGAGAUGAACGCAAAAUUAGAAGCCAUUGCCCGUGAUGUUUCUAACUCUAAUUCUGGACCAGAUGUUGAGGCCAGCAGUCAAAUUCGGCCUUCUAGAAACAAAGGCAUUUCAGGUACAUCCGAAGGCUCAUCAAUCCUUCCAAAAUUCAGUAAACUGGAUUUUCCCAAAUUCAGUGGCGAAGAGGAUCCCUUAGCCUGGCUGCAACGAUGUGAGCAUUUUUUCAAACACCAGAACACGCCGGAAGAGGAAAAGGUUACUCUAGCUUCUUACCAUCUAAUGGGAAAUGCUCAGUAUUGGCUGAAUGAGCUUUUCGACGAAAACCCAAAUCCCACUUGGGAAGAGCUUAAACAACAGUGUAACCUUCGAUUUGGACCACCAGUCCGCAGUAAUAAACUGGGAGAGUUAGCCAAAUUGAAGCAGGUGGGUUCCGUGGCAGAUUAUCAGACACAAUUUGAGAUUCUGGUUCCCCGAGCAGGAAAACUAACAAAAGACCAGAAGAUACAACUUUACAUCAGUGGCUUGAAAGACCACAUUGCAGUGGAAGUGGUUAUAUGAGAAAAGAACCCCAUUACCAUCGCGAUUUUCUAAUCGUUCAGUGACGGCUCCUAUAGAAUCCAAGGGCAACAGAAGUAUUCGGCGGUUGAGUCCAGCAGAGAUGGAGGAACGGCGAAAGAAAAAUCUUUGCUUUAACUGUGAUGAACCCUUCUCUCGGGGUCAUCAAUGCAAAAGAUUAUUUUGGAUUGAACUUGAUGAUGGUGAAAGUGACAUGGACACCGGCGAAGAAUCACCAGAAAUCUCUUUGAAUGCGAUUACAGGAACCCACAGUGCUCAAACUAUGCGUGUGAUGGCUGAAUGGAAUGGUAAAUCUGUUCUCGUUCUCAUAGAUUCUGGUAGUACUCACAAUUUCGUGGCUGCCAAUAUUGUUAAACAGGUGGAUCCGAAGAUUGAAAAGAAAGACGGACUUCGGGUUCGAGUUGCAAACGGCGAACAGAUAUUCAGUUCUGGUGUUUGUCGCAAAUCAGAGUUACAGAUGGGGGGCCACCCUUUUGGAAUAGACCUUUUUGUCCUUCCUCUAAGCGGAAUUGAUGUGGUACUGGGAGUCCGCUGGUUAAAAACUCUAGGACCCAUUCUUUGGGAUUUUUUUAUUAUGCGAAUGGCUUUCUCUAUUUCAGGCACCAAUAUUGAAUUACAGGGAAUCCAAAAUCUCGCCAUUAAACAACCCGUAAGCCUAAAUUCCGUCUCUUCCUUCCCGGAUGUCGAAACCCAAUUACAACACCUUCUCACCGAAUUCUCCGGCAUCUUCAAAGAACCUAAAGCUCUUCCCCCAAGCCGCUUCUGUGAUCACCGAAUUCCUUUGGAACCGGGCACCAGACCAGUUACGGCCGUACAGGUACCCUCAUGGCCAGAAAGAUGAGAUCGAGAGACAGUGUGCUGAGAUGUUGAAGAAGGGAAUUAUUCGACCUAGCCAAUCCCCUUUUUUAUCACCUGUAAUCCUUGUUCCCAAAGCAGACGGAUCAUGGCGACUUUGUGUGGAUUACCGGGAAUUGAAUGCUCAUACAGUUAAAGAUAAGUUCCCAAUUCCUGUAAUAGAUGAAUUAUUUGAAGAAUUGGGAGGAGCAAGGUAUUUCACAAAGUUGGAUCUAGUUGCUGGCUAUUAUCAGGUUCGCAUGUUUCUGCAAGAUAUCAAGAAAACAACAUUCCGCACUCACCAUGGCCACUUCGAAUUCCUGGUCAUGCCUUUCGGCCUUACGAAUGCACCAUCCACUUUCCAGGCACUUAUGAACGAGGUAUUUCAGCCAUACCUAAGAAAGUUUGUUCUUGUUUUUUUUGACGAUAUCCUUGUCUAUAGCAGAACAUGGAUUGAGCAUCUCCAUCACCUUCGGAUUGUUUUUGAGGUACUGCAAAAUCAGCAGUUAUUCUUAAAAAAAUCCAAAUGUGCCUUUGCCCAAUCACAGAUAGAAUACUUGGGGCAUGUAAUUUCUUCUGAAGGUGUACAUGCAGACCCAUCAAAAAUCCAGGCAGUUAGAGGACUUCGUGGUUUUUUGGGUUUGACAGGGUACUACCGCAAGUUUGUUCAUAAUUAUGGACUUAUUGCAGCUCCUCUUACAAACAUGUUGCGACAUAAAUCAUUUCAGUGGACAGACGAAGCAGUGCAAGCUUUCAACAAGCUUAAGGAAUUGAUGACUACCACCCCUGUAUUGGCUCUUCCAGAUUUUGCUCAACCCUUUAUUGUGGAGUGUGAUGCCUCAGAUUCUAGUAUAGGGGCUGUCCUCUUGCAAAAUGGCAGACCUGUAGCCUAUUUCAGUCGAAUGAUGGCAGCCAGGCACCGCUCCCUUCCAGCUUAUGAGAAAGAAUUAAUUGGGUUGGUUAAAGCCGUCAAACACUUGCAUUCUUAUCUAUGGGGACGUGUCUUCCUUAUUCGCACAGACCAUUACAUUCUCAAAUUUUUGUUAGAAUAAAAACUAUUAUCUCCUAUCCAACAGAAAUGGCUCAGUAAACUCUUGAGUUUCUCUUUUACAAUUGAGUACAGGUCUGGGCGUUUGAAUACAGUGGCCGAUGCUUUAUCGCGACGAGAAGAAGAUUCAACUGCUCUUAUGGCCAUUUCAAUGCCACAAGUUGGAAUUUUUGAGGAAAUCAGACGUGAACAUCAAACUUCCUCAGAAAUUCAGCAGCGGGUCUCUCUUGUCCAGCACAACUCUGCUGCAAAUUCUUGGUGUCUAAAAGAUGGGUUACUGCUCUUCAAAAACAAGGUUUUUUUGCCUUCCUCUUCUCCAUCUAUUCAAGCUAUUAUUUCUGCCAUUCAUAAUCAGGGCCAUGAGGGGUAUCAAAAGACCUUGUUUCGAAUUACAAGAGACUUUUACUGGAAGGGGAUGAAGACCCAUGUGCGUGAUUUUGUUCACUUCUCUAAGUUUGCUCAUUUCUUGCCCCUUUCGCAUCCUUAUACUGCUGUGAGUGUUACCCGUCUGUUUUUUGAUAAUAUUGUCAAGAUACAUGGGAUUCCGGAGUCCAUGGUUAGCGAUCGUGAUGUAACUUUUACUAGCUCUUUUUGGGCUGAAUUGUUUCGUUUGUGUGGCACUAAACUUGCUUUUAGUUCUGCUUAUCACCCACAAACGGAUGGGCAGUCCGAGGUGGUUAAUAGAACGGUUGAAAUGUAUCUCCGAUGCUUCACUAGUGCACAUCCAACCAAAUGGAUGGACUGGAUUUCUUGGGCACAAUAUUGUUACAAUACUAGUUACCACACAUCACUUCAUGCCACUCCCUUUGAGGUGGUUUUUGGUAGACAGCCGCCCCGUUUACUAUCUUAUGCUCCUGGAAGUUCAAUGAUUGAUGCAGUUGACCAAGCUCUCCAAACCAGAGAUGAAGUUUUGGGUUCUAUUCGGCAGCACCUACUUCGGGCACAAGCUAAAAUGUAGGCAAUUUAUGAUAAAAAGCACCGUCCACUGGAAUUUCAGGUUGGGGAUAUGGUCCUACUUCGCCUACAGCCCUAUAGACAGGUUUCAAUGGCCAAUAGGCGUCAUCAGAAGCUUUUGCCGAAAUAUUAUGGCCCUUUUAAAAUCAUUCAGCGCGUAGGAACCAUGGCUUACAAGUUGGAUUUACCAACAGAUGCUCGAAUCCACCCUGUAUUUCAUGUGUCUGCCUUAAAAGCUUAUAUUGCAGGGUUCUCUACUGAUCGUCCUUCCCUUCCUCUCAUUGAACUUGUGUCCGCAAUGCCUCAGCCUCAAGCAGUUUUGGGUCAUCGAACCAGAGCUGGGAAAUCUGAAGUUUUAAUUCAUUGGCAGCAUUCUUCACCAGCAGAUGCUUCUUGGGAAACUAAAGCUGAUUUGUCUCAACGAUUUCUAGAUUUCGCGAUUGAGGACAAUCGCAAUGUCAGCGGAGGGAGUAAUGUUACUAGCCUUAAGCACUACAAACGGUUCACCCAUGGACCUAAGAAGAUUCAGUCAAAUGAAGAGUAAAGAACAAGUCAUGCAACUAAUUUGUGCUGCUGCUGUUAUUAUUUUCUUGUUAAUGUUUUUAUUCUUUAUGCUGCUGUUAUUAUUUUCUUGUUAAUAUUUUUAUUCUUUAUUUAUUUUGUUGAGUAGAAAUAGGAGAAAAAAUUUAACCCAGUUUUUGAGUACUUAACUCAAGAGAUUGUAGAUUCUCUCUCAAGUCUACAAAAUAGGUAGAAAAAAGGAUAAAAACCCUUCUUCUUCCUCCCACCAACCUGACCAAAGACCCCUUACCCGUUUACAAACCAGGGCCUGUGACAGUUUCUCAAGUCAACAUGUGGUUUUCUCAGGGACAGUCAAUAUACACCCAAGUCUAUUGCCACUUUACCGUGGUGCUGCUCCUGUUCAAAGAGCAUUGCAGGU